GAGUCUGCUGCGGGUAGCGUACGGACGCCCAGCGAGUAUCGAAGCUCACUCUGCUGAGGAUGUUGGCUCUCCAUCCUACUGGCAUACGGUAAGACUUCAUACAACUUGUUUGAACUGUGUUAUCAUUUCUGUGUGGGACCAAUAAAGUGCCUAUUGUUGGUAGCCAGAAGUGUCUUGUCAUUAUUUCUGAGUGCCUAUCGCCGACGAUCCUUUAUAAAACUUGAUAUUCAUUCAAAUUGAGUAUCAGAAGUGUUUCAAAACACACGGUCA